rnacentral:rRNA from 1 species
GGUGCGGAACGCGUAUGGAACCUACCUUUAUCAGGGGGAUAGCCCAUGGAAACGUGGAUUAAUACCCCAUAGUAUUACAUCAUUGCAUGAUGAUUUAAUUAAAGAAUUUCGGAUAGAGAUGGCCAUGCGUAUCAUUAGCUAGUAGGCGAGGUAACGGCUCACCUAGGCGACGAUGAUUAGGGGUCCUGAGAGGGAGAUCCCCCACACUGGUACUGAGACACGGACCAGACUCCUACGGGAGGCAGCAGUGAGGAAUAUUGGGCAAUGGAGGCAACUCUGACCCAGCCAUGCCGCGUGCAGGAAGACGGCCCUAUGGGUUGUAAACUGCUUUUAUACAGGAAGAACACCACCCACGUGUGGGUGACUGACGGUACUGUAAGAAUAAGGACCGGCUAACUCCGUGCCAGCAGCCGCGGUAAUACGGAGGGUCCAAGCGUUAUCCGGAAUCAUUGGGUUUAAAGGGUCCGUAGGCGGGCUAAUAAGUCAGAGGUGAAAGUUUGCAGCUCAACUGUAAAAUUGCCUUUGAUACUGUUAGUCUUGAGUUAUAGUGAAGUGGUUAGAAUAAGUGGUGUAGCGGUGAAAUGCAUAGAUAUCACUUAGAAUACCGAUUGCGAAGGCAGAUCACUAACUGUAUACUGACGCUGAGGGACGAAAGCAUGGGUAGCGAACGGGAUUAGAUACCCCGGUAGUCCAUGCUGUAAACGAUGGAUACUAGCUGUUGG